ensembl:lncRNA
GUGGAGAAGGAGAUGAACAAUCUCCAGAAGGCACAACGGAGGGUCCAAAGGCGCACUGCCCCGUGAAUAGCAGCACAGCCCAGACCUGAGGCAGGGGGGAGCUGGGAUCCCAGCAGCCCCCAGCCAUCUGGGCCGUUGGCUGGAGCUCGGGAAGGCCGGGCCUGUGCAGGUCUGGCACCCAGGGGUGCCCGUCCCAGCUCCAGCAGAGGCCGGGCAGCUGCCUCGGGUCCCCGUGGCCACCACAGGAUGGGGGGAGGGGGAAAGAUCUUGGUGCCGGCCGAGGCCUCUUCUCACACACCAAACUCCCACAUUAGCAAAUCCACUGUCACAGAGUUUAACAUGUUUUUUUUGUUUGUUUGUUUUGUUUUUUUUUUUUCCCUGAUAUACAUUCUUGUUUUGUUGUUGUUGUUGUUUUUUCUUCAAAGUAGUCCCUUAAUUUGUUAGAAGUUUUUUCUGGUGCAGAUAUUUCCAAUGGCACCAUUCUUUCCUGAUCAUCAGGGGCAACAGCUGAACAUCACCACCCAUUUUAUUCCGGUGACGUAGCUGUGGUCAUUAUAGGGCAAUCAUUCUGCAUUUCUCUGAGCUGUUUUCAACUUUCUUAUCUUCACCACGUAAGGAAUGUUAAGUGCUGUAUUCAUCAAAUACUACCAAGCAAAGUAGAGUGUCUUCUACACAAAGGAAAUAUGAAUAUGACCUUUGCAUAACACUAAACAGGAAGUUAAAACAUUAGUUCCUAAGAUCGAAAGGCCUUAGGAACAUAAGCAGCUUAUUUAUGUAUUAAGGACGUAACACGUUUACAUUUUCACAUUCAUUACGUUUUUCACUAAUUUCCUCUCCAGCACUUCACCUCCCUUAUUGCCUGUACCAAGUGGGCAUGUUUUUCACAUUUUGGACAAAAGGCAACAAUCUAUACACUAUCAAGGAAAAGAAAGCAUUCUACAGAACAUGACACAUUACUUCUAGAGUAUUUUUUAAUCAAAAAACCAUUUUUUUAGAAGCUACAGCAAAAAAAAAAAAAAAAAGUGAUCUCCAUCUUAUUUACGUUCAACAGAACAGUCAGCAAGAAAAAUGAAAAAAUCCCAGUAAUUGUUUUUAAGAAUAGGAGACAGUUGAUACAGCUGCCUUCUGUCAGUUUCAGGUCACCCAAGAAACGUAGUAGUCACACUUCGAUACACAGCCUCCACCCUGACACAGAACCAUUCAUCACAACCCUUUGGCUGCGUCCAAUCAGCCAAUUCCUAACCCACUGAACAGUCCAUCCUUCAAAUCCACACCUCCCCAGUUUAGAGACAAGGAUGUGGUGAGGGACCACGUCAAAAGCUUUGCAGAAGUCCAGAUAGAUGACACGCGUUGCCCUUCCCCUGUCCACCGAUGCCAUUACUCCAUCACAGAAGGCCACCAGAUUGGUCAGGUGCAAUCUGCCCUUAACAAAGCCACGCUAGCUAUCUUGAAUCACCUCUUCAGCUCAUCUUGUUCCUCUCCACUGGAAACCCCAGUUCACAUACCUAUCUCAUCCUCCUUUUCCCUGGUGUCCAUCUCAACCAUUGAACUCAACCUGGCUGCUAAGGUAAAAGGGAACAAGAAACUCUUUUACAAGUAUAUCAACAGUAAGAGGAGGACCAGGGAAAAUCUCCAUUCCCUACUGGAUGAGGCUGCGAAUGUGACCGCUGAGGAUAAGGAAAAGGCAGUGGAAUGGGCUGCCCAGAGAGGUGGUGGAGUCACUGAGCCUGGUGGCGUUCAAAGACCGUUUGGAUGUUGUGCUGAGGGACACGGUUUAGCGAGAACCAUUGGUGAAGGGCGAAUGGUUGGACUGGGUGAUCCCGCGGGUCUUUUCCAACCUUAGCGAUUCUAUGAUUCUAUGAUCGCCUCCUGAUGCUCUGCACACCAGCCGAGGAGCGGCGCUUCCCCGUGGGCGGAGGGGCACGCGUCACAGCCAGAGCAUUGUGACGCAAUCACCCUGCAGAGUAGCAGAAGCACCGCUCCCUGGGCACAGAGAGCACUUGGUGCUGAGCACCGGCACUGCGAGGAGGUGGGAGAGAUUGGGAGAGGAGACUGAAGGCAGAGAGUGCCCCCGGUGCCCUCCCAGCCCACAGCGUGGUCGAGGACUGUCGCGAACCCAUCCGCAGCUGUGCGCACUGAGCGGCACUGAAGGAGGAGGUGGAAAUGGAGAUGAAAAACCUCCAGAAGGCACAACGGAGGGCCCAAAAGCGCACUGCGCCCAGGAGGAAGAUGACACGCAGGGAAGAGCACAUGAGUUCCCUGCUGCAGGAGACAGUGGCUGUGCGAUUGGUAAGAGAGAAAGCCCCAGCGGGGCCUUGGGGAGGGAAGGCUCACCUCAGGGCCACCGCAGGGGAUAUGGGCCUCCCUCUGGCUGUGGGGACGAAGGAGGGCUUCCGAGUGCCCAAACCUGCGCUCACCCCAACGCGUGGCCCUACUUUGCUUUGUCCUCUAGGAUGAGCAGACGGCAGCACAGAAGCAUCCACUUGUAACUUCCUGGCUGCGGUGAGUCGCCCUGGGGUCCAGAGACCAUCAGGCAGCUUUUGACUUUUGGGGGAUAAAAUGCCUCAGUAUUGCUUAGGGUCCUGGGUGGGAGAGCAGGUGGGGUGGGGAUCUUGGCAGCCCUGCGCAGAGCUACAACAGAUUCCGUUGCUCCCUGUAUGGCACAUGUCCACGGGCCACUUGCCGGGGCUGGUUGGAAAGUGCUGUGACAAACGUGCCCCCGGAUCUGACUGGACCUUCUUCUCUUCCACAGGAGGUUUCUGCUGUUCUUGGGCCUGCUGCAGCUUGUUUUCUUCACCCUAGUUGUGCUGCAGAAGGACAUCCUCCGCUGGGUCCUGCCUGCAGAGCUGGCACCUGCCCUUGGCAUCCGUCCACCUACGCCCGCUCUUUUCUGACCCCAGAACACACUGCGGCCCUUCAUCGGGACACCAUUGGGCCUGCACAAGCAUUAGGGAGUCUGUCACCAUUGUCACCCUGUCACCAAUCACGUCAAUAAAAUCCAUCCCAAUUCCCAAAUGUCUUAUUCGUGCAUGAGAGGCGUUAGAGCCCGUCGACAAAUCCCUGUUGAACCUUGGGAAGGAUAAAGUGGGAUUCCGGAGCUAAGAAACAGGACUCAGGGAAUCGGCAAGGCUGGAAAUGACCUCCAAGGGCUCCAAC